UUUAUUUUUUUGAGCAGUGUAUUGGUAAACAUGUGUCUCAGGAUCACCUGCUCAAAGGUUUGUAGUAUGUGAUAUAAGACCCCAGAAGCCUUGAAGUCUUUGCAGGAGAUCAGCCGCAUGGAAAGAGAUAAAGUGUACUUAAUUAUUCAGCUCUUAAUCUGUCCCUUCAUGGCCCCAGGGGAAAAGGUAACGCUCAGACUGUAAGUAGGACCUUAAGUGAUCAAUCAUCAACGUGACACGAAGAGUCAGACAUUACUUUAUAAGAAAAAAUGUUAUUAAGAUUUGCUAUAUGUCAGAGUCACAUUGACCAGACUGAAAUUAAAACUGCUUUUAUUAGAGGCUAUGGUUUUAGAAGAAAACAUAAGCUGUGCACUUUUUGAAUAUUUUCACACAUGGUUUUAUGUUUUUGGACAUAGAGCCACAGUGAGAUUGAAUAAAUGUGAAAUGACUGGAAGCUGUAUAGACAGUCGUGCAGUGCCAUCGUAGAAGCACUUUCACUGCCUUGCAAUGGGAUUUUAAUGCUGUACAGACUGCGAGGUAGCAAAUGAUUGAGUUUUACAAACAAAAGAAAUCAGUAAAAGUCUGUUUGUGUUCAUCUUCCUUUACAAUGAUAAAUAAAAGUCAGCACUACUAACUGUCUUCAGAAGUCACAGAGUCAUGAAAACACCAGAUUGUUGGGCAAUGAGACAAUUUCCCAAGCAAUGAACAUAUAUUGGCUUUUCAGUUCAUCCACAACCUGCAGAGUUUGGCUCUCCACCAGCCUGGCCUUUAUGGCAGAGUGCCAAGAAGAGAGACACUUGACAGAGAGUCACUGCUGGUCCUGUUCCACAAGCCAUGUGAGGACAAAGUAAGCAGGUGGAAGAAGUUGUUCUCUUAAGAUCCUGUCUGCAGAACUCUAUUUGUGGUGGAAUAUUCCAUAUAUAUCACCACAAACAGACUGUUCCCUACCACAAAAACUGAUGGUGGAAGUAUUUUGCUGACGGAGUGUUAAAAAACAGGGAAACUCCAUGUAGAACCUGCUGCUAAUGAGCGUCACCAUCCAGCAGAUGACCCUGAUCAUUUUGCCAAGUAUGUAGUGAAAUAAUCCUUUAACUGCUGACUUAAAAAUUUCUCUUCGCAAAUGUUCAUUCAACUUGACGCAAGUUCGGAAGGAAGGAUGUUAUUCUGUAGUUAUUUGGAAAAUAACUCGUUACAUGUAGCUGUGCUAUACAUUGUAAUUUACUGGGGGUUUUUUUCCAAUUCUUUCAGAGCAUUUCUCUGAUUAGAAUUAAAGUUAUUAUAGUUGCUGGUUCAACCUCCACAACACUUAGUGAUUUGUGACCAUCAUAGUAACGGUUUCACAUUUCUUCCAACAAAUUGCAAACCCUUUAGGAUACAUGCGUCAAUUGCUUCCAUUCUUUUCUGCUUUAUUGUAACAUUACCAUUUUCUCGCGUCAGUCGAAUGAACUGUACUCAGGACUGUUAAAUGGUCAUUCUCUACAAACUUAAUGGCUCUCAUUUUGCUGCUUGAGUCGUUACAAACAAAAGAAUGUCGAGCAGGUUGUCAGAAUCUGUCAUGCAAAUGUUCCCAACCCAGACAUAAUCUGAAACACCUGCGGUUUAAAUUCCAGCUAACAGUGUUUCUUGCAUAAACGCAAAUUCAUGCGCCACUUUGGAGAUUUGAUUUUGUGAAAGACAAAGACAAAGACUUUUGCUACUUUAUAUUGAUGGGAUGUUUUGUGAUGAUCUAUCACAUCAAAAUGUGUGGCUAUAAAGUUAGAAAUGAUGAAAACUGUAAAUUAGUAUGAAUACUUGUGCGAGGCAGGCACUGUGCUUUGUUUACGGAGUGCCGUUUCGAUGAGCAAGGUGGCAAACUUUCACAUGUCAGGACACAUUAGGGUAUUAGAAAGCAGAGAGGGGAGGGGAGUAUAUAAGAUAAUCACAUUGCAGAAUGCAUGCGCAUAAGAAGCUGACCAGAGACACAUCACCAUGAGAUUGGAUGACGACAUCACCUGCCUGGAAGGCUUUGCCACAGACAUCACAGUGAUCUGUCUGUAGGAAGCUUACUGGGACGUGGAGCUCAGCGACUUGACUCAAUAUGGAAUUAUCCUCAUGUCAUCGUGCAACCUGUUCUCCAGAUACUCCCUGCUCUUCUCUGUCUAAUGAGUUAACUCAAAUUGUGUUUGUUGAUGUAAUGCUUAAGAACACUUUCUCAGAAAAAUUUAAAAUAUGAGUUAAAAGUCAUUUCAAACAUAUUGAGUUUUAUAAACUUCCCUGAAUUCUCAAUCGCUCGCAUACUUUGCACUUCCCAUGUGUUUCCAUACAUCUGCUUUUUUUUUUUUUUUUACAUUUCUUUAUUGAGAAUGACAAUGCAAUUAAAUUAGAUUUUAAUUUGACUUGGUUUCAACGUUGAUAUGUAUUUUAACACUUCAUAUGAAAUUUAAAGGUGCGUUUACUUUUUAAAAGUGCAAAUUAUCGUUUUUGUUUUAAUCUGAUGCUGUGGGUGUAACUUUUGUGUUUGAGCUCGGUUUGUUCACAAAUACAUCUCAGAAAAUAACCUAUUAUUUCUUAUCCAACCUUGCUGUACCCACAUAAAUAAAUGACUAAAACACCAACCAAACUGGAACCAGUUGGAAUGGUGAAGAGCUAAGCAGGAGCAUAGUCAUCCUCAUAGGCAGCCAUUUUGAAUUCACAAGAUGAAAAGGAAAUGGUAAGAUGAUACAGUAUAAUAAUUGUAGUUGGAGUGGAUUAAUGGAUUUAGUUCACACUAGGGAGGUUCAUACCUACUAUAUACCAAGACUAAGCUAGUGCUGGCUGUGGUCAAUAUUCUCAUGAUUACCAAAUAAUUGGUUCUAAAGUCAAUAAAGUCUAUGUAACAAUCUGUUUCUGGCGUUUUUCUUGUGAUUGUGUUCCGGCAUUCAACCUCUGUACAUUUUAUGCAACUUUAACUUUUUAUCCCACAUUGCAUAGUGACCAUGACUUUUGUUAUUGAAAUUUUACUGAUAAAAAUCAUUAGACAUUAUAAAGCCUUAUGAAUUUGUGCUGUUGAAAUCAAAAAUAAUUGCACCCGAUUAGUAUUUCAAGUAGUGUGGUAAUUUGACAAUUAAAUUUUCGGUAUCAAUGCAAGAACCUAAAAAAAAAUUCUGCAAAACUGUCUUAUCCAUGUGUAGAUAUGGGCUGGUAUUUAAAAACAUUCCUUUCCUUUACAUUUACAAUUAAAGACUUACUUAAACAACUGUGUAUAGCAGCAGGUAAAAUGGGAAUUAUUUCAUUUCUUUUCUGCUACAUUGUGUUAAAUUGUAGAUAGAUAAUAAAACACUUAUUUGCCUCA